UACGGAGGGUGCGAGCGUUGUCCGGAUUUAUUGGGCGUAAAGAGCGUGUAGGCGGCCAGGUAGGUCCGCUGUGAAAACUCGAGGCUCAACCUCGAGAUGUCGGCGGAAACCAUCUGGCUAGAGUCCGGAAGAGGAGAGUGGAAUUCCUGGUGUAGCGGUGAAAUGCGCAGAUAUCAGGAAGAACACCCGUGGCGAAGGCGGCUCUCUGGGACGGUACUGACGCUGAGACGCGAAAGCGUGGGGAGCGAACAGG
rnacentral:rRNA from 1 species